GCAAUGAAGUAAGGGAAAAGUCUGAUCAAAGUUGUUUUUUUUAGAGGGUUGAAGAAGGAAGAAGACGGUGGAGAAUGACGAGGGAAAAGGGAGAGGACACGGAAAAAAAAAAAGAGGAAAGAAAAAGGACUUGCCUUUUCCUUCUUUUGGGAUACCAAUGGAUUUCUUUUUCACUUGAAUUAGUUUUUUUUUUUCUUUCUUUUUUGGGGGGUCUAAUUUUAUUUUCCAAGAAAGAGCUGUAGACAGUUAUCUCUGAACAUAUAUAUAUGCAAUGGAGGGAGUGUAUGUAUAUGUAUGGCAUAUAUAACAGUGAACCCUCUCUAAUUUUUUUAUUUAGUCCUUCCCCUCCUUUUUCUCUUCAUGAUGCCAUAUUCCAAAGUUCUUUUUGUUUUCUAUCGUGCUUUUCUUUUUCUGGGUCAAUCUAAUACUCCAGGUAAAAGCGUAAUUGUGCUGUAAUUUUAGAAGAGUUGUUUGUCCCAUUUGGUGACAAGGAAAUGAUAUCAUUUUGAUUUUCAGAAGGGAGGUUGAUGUGGAUGCAUAAAGACCUAAUGUUUAUUUCAAGACUCUUUUAAGUAUUUAAAGGAUUAUUGUCAGUGGGGUCUUGUAUAUGUAUAUAUAUGUAUAUAGUGUUGUUUUGUUUGGGUGAACUAUUCAUAUUUACAUAUGCAUACACAGUCGAGAAUUUGCUACUCAGCUAGUGCUGCUGCCAAUGGCAAUUGCCUCUUCCUUUGUCAAAAGUGGGUUGGUGGAAAGGGUCAGUCCGUGGCUUGGCUAAUGUCCAUUUUUGUGGACGCGAUAACUUUAUCUUUUUGGGUUACUUUUUAAUUCUUUCAAUCUUCACUUAUAAUAUCAGAUUUUCAAUAGUAUCUAUCUAUCUUCCAUUAGAUAUGAUUUUUCCUUCAGUUAUUUAUAAUAUUUAUUAUUAAAAGCUGAAUUUUGCCAAAUUGGCCUAGUGGUCCCCCACCAGAGUAGAGAAAAACCGGACUGGUCCCAUAGAGUUUCUCUUUCAAAUGGUUAGAGCUUUGGGUCCUAGGGUUCUAAUGUGGGGCAUCAUGUGUGUGUACUGGCAAUCUGACAUCUUCCCUUGCCUGUAGGUUGUGUUGCGACUCUGUAAAGCUAUUCUUAUCUGUACACGUGUUCCUCCUCCUCCUCCUCCUUUCCUUUUUUUCUUUUUUCUAAUUCAAUUCCCUUAGAGCUUGCAACCUAAAACAAUAAAAGAGCAGGGCUAUUUCCCUUUCUUAUUAAUUAGUGUUCUCAUAUAUUUAUCUAAUAGAUAUAUAAGAAUCAGUGGGGUCGGACUACAAAAUUAGGAUUUAAAAUUGGCCCACUAGAUAGGAAAGGACACCCUCAUAGAAAACUUGACUAUUAAAUUAUAAGACGGACGUAUAGUAAUUGAGAAUUAAUUUAUUGACUAAUUUGAGACACAUAUAUAGAUUUAUUUAAUUUUUUACUGAUUCAAUAAACAAAUUAGUAAAUAGUGAAUAUUAUUAAUUUAUUGAAGUUUGAUAAAUGAGAAUAUCCACCACAUCAACUCUUAAUCAGCAAGGUAGUCUUCAAAUUGUGACAGUAGGUAUAAUCCUAAAAAGAAAUUUUUAGAAGUAUUAAAGAAUCCGGUUAGGAGGUGUGUGACUAGAUACCCCACUUCACUUAUUUCUUCCCUUUUGAUAAUUUAAGAAAGAGAGUUAUCUUUACCAAACACUCUCUGAAUAUUUUAUUUAUAAUAAAAUAUUAUUUGGAUUCUUCAAUUGAAAGGGUCCCGCAAAGAGAAUCAAUUAAUGGAAAGAGCAGCCCAUGCCAUUUUACUAUUAUAUCAUUAUACAGACAAUCAAAUAAAAGAAUUGGGGUUUCAAAACAUUGCAAGAUUACGCUAUCCCACCCAAAGAUUAGCUUUAUCCCAACCUCCUGACCCCACCCCAUUUUUAGAUCUUUUACAGAAAUUCUUUACAGUGAAACACUAAUUUCACUUUAUAAAUUACACCAUAAUUUUUAUUUCUGAAAUUUAUUAUACAGCGAUGUGUUCACAAAGUCAAUGACUAGAGCCUGGGCCAAUUAUUGAAAAAGAUAUAUAACAAUGAUUAUUUGGGAGUUGAACAUGUAAAACAUAUAGUAAGCCUGAGGUUAAAACACCAAUAAACAUGCUUAUUAAUUACAUGCCUUUCUUCAGAAUUCACUAAACUAAAAAGUCCUAAAUUAACUUAUAUAUCAAAAACCAAUACAGAUAUAUAUUGUGCAACACUGGGGAACAACCAAAUCUUUUUAAGAGAAAAACUUCUGUUAAUUUUUUUUGUAGUUUGAUGUAUUUUCACUUAUAUUAUAUAUAAUUUUAUUUUUAUUAUUUUAAUACUUUAUGAAUAUCACCAUUAAUAAAUAAUAACUAAAUUAUAUAACACCGUUAAUAAGUGUCGAAUAAAUAAUGACUAUUACAUGGGACGUCAGAAUUUUUGAUGAUAUUAUAUAGCUUAUGCAAAAUUUUUCCUUUUUUAAAUGUAAAAGCUAGGAAACUUCUAAGAGAAGAUUGUGGGAAGCAAUGGAUGGUAAAGUUAAUUACCAUUCUAUUAAAAAAUAAAAAGAUUUUAAUGGAACUAGUUAGAAUUUGAGCAAUUGCAUUUCAAGUGGGUCACUCAGCACUGGACCGCCCAAUUACUAAUUAUUAUUUUUGAUUUGAAGAAUUAUGUAAAAUUAAAAGAAAAGAAAAAAGCCAAGAUUGUACAUGAAAUGAGGAAAGAUCAUUAAAGAAUGUGGGCAACACCUAGAGGCAAAUAAUAAAAAGUAAGUUUGACAUAUAAUGGAAGGGGCUUCAAUUACCAUUGGAACCUUUUGUGAGAGUCCACCACUCGGUAUUUGUAUACUGUAGAGGCAUUUCCUUCUGGUGGACAGUGGGGCAAAGUUUCAUCAAAAUGAUCCAAUUGGAUAAGCAAAUAAAAGAGUAAAAGUCCCCUUAUAUGACUUGAUGGUACUAUUUCAUGAAAGGGAAAGGCCCCAUAUUUAAAUAUGGACAAGAAUGUGCCAAUUUUUUGUUUUUCUUUUUCUUGCCUGUGAUAUUAUAUGUAGGUUUUAACAUGCCAGCUUAUAUUUUGAUCUUUCUUUUAUUUUUCCCUCUUUUUUUUGCUUAAAAGAAAAACUAAAAGAACUUUCUAACAACAAAUCUAAAUCAAAGACAGCAAUUGGACUUUGUCUUAUUGUGUUCUUACUGUUCCUUGCAUGUUUUACUUCUAAUAGUCCAAUGGUAUUACAGAUUAACACUUUAUUUUAUAUUUAUAUUUAUAUAUGGUGGGAAAGAUCUUUCUUUUGAUGGGUAUUAAAUAAAUGUUUAAAUGCAAUUGAAAAUAAACUACACACUUUAUAAGAAAAAGAGAAUCAUUCACAGUAAUUCCAGAAUCAAAUUUUGGUCAGUGGAGAAAUAAAGAAUUUUAACCAAAUUAUUUUAUCAAGUAAACUAACCUUAUUAUCUCAUUUUUCACUGAAAGGACUAUUCAACUUAGAAUUACAUAGAAUAAUUUGGCAUCUUUCUCAAACUUAAGCUACAUUUUGUUGAUCCAAAAGAGAUUAACAAUAAUUAUGAAUUUUCUGUCUGCAAUCUAUACAUCAUGAAUUGCUGGGACCAUGUUUUCAUAUUAAAAUAACUGGAAAGAAGAAAUCUCUAGCAAAACCUUGUCAAGACUGAGUAAAAAUAUGGCAAUAAGUUGAGUAUGGUAAGUCCUUAAUUUAUUUAGAACUUUCUAUGUUAAUUGGUCAAAAAAGAGGAAGGAAAAGGGUUAUGAAAUAUAUUCUUUUUGGAACAAUUAUUGAUUUCGCCAUAGGAACCCAACUCGCACCUAAUAGGACUAUCUAUGCCAAAUAUUCUAAAGGUUAAUCCCCAUAUGGAUAUUAUGUUAUUAUGUGAAUAUAUUAAUCUGAGAAAUAUUUGCUUAGUCUCUUUCAGUUUCCAUAAAUGCAUCACCAUUUGCAAUGAGUUCAUACCAUAAAAAUAUAUCACUCUUCUAUUAUUACCAUAAUUUGUUAUGAAAAUAACUAAUACAAGAAAAAAUUAAAUUGAUUCUCAGUCUAUUACUUGGAGCUCGAUUAUAUUCAAAAAGAUUCUUGGUUGAAAAAAUAAAAAGAAAAGAAGAAGAAAACAAUAGUGUGAAAUAUGGGUAUAUAUGCCAACUUGCCAUGUCCUUAAAUUCAACCUUAAAACAGGGAAGCUAGUUUCGACAAAGGUAUUGCUCAAAAAGUUGGAAGGCUAAGCCGCUACAUAAAAUUGAUGCGGCACGGCACCACUCUUCGUCCAUAUGUUUAUAUUUUGACCUAGCUACCAUUAUUAUUCAUUCAUAUAAACCCUAAUAAGUAACAACACAUUGUGCCCCUUUUACCCAUAAAUCCUCUCUAUUCUUUUUGGUUUCUUAAGAUUAAAAUACAUGAAUGAUGAUAAUGAAUAACCCAAAACCCACCGCUUCAGGUGGGAGUCCAGCGGGAGUAGUCGGAGACAAGACAAAAAGUUUGUUGUUUUUCUUUUUGUUUUAUGGGAAAAAGAAAAUCAUACAACACAGUCGACAUAAAUCUGACGACACUUAACCCAUUAACCACUUAUAAUUAACCAAAGCUAAAGGCUUGUCAUGACUCAUGACACAUACCUUUUCCUUUCUUUUUCUUUUCUUUGGUCAUAUUCAAUGUGGCGCCGCCCCACCAACCCUACAAAUUUGUGGGUCUCCUCCAUUUUUGCUUCCCUCAAAAUUUAUAUGGUGGGUCCUUACGUAUAAUCACCUUUGUUUUUUCUUUUCUUUGAAAUAUUAACUUCAAUCCAUUCAAAGAAGUAGAAUAAAAACAAAGGAGGCAAGGCUAGGUAAGAACCUUUAAAUGAGCCAACACCCUGCGCCAAGAAAUGAUAUCCAAAACCACCAAAAUCUGCAAAACUAGAUAAGAGCUACUAUACUUAGCCAAGAAGUAUAUUUGCAAAUGGAUAGGAGAGGUUAGCUUCAGGCAGAGAGUUGUGUCUAUAAAGCAACAAAACCCUUGUAAGAAUGGAUAUGAUUCUCCAGCUCCACAGCCGCAGAAUCUUGAUAGAGUUCAUACAUUGCAAUUUGCGUGGCUCUUGCUUAGAAGUAUACAUAUAUCAUCCAGGUGCCAAGCAAUCAAGAAUAACCCAGCAAAUGCAGCAAUUCCAGCAAUUCCAGCAGCAGGUAAUAUUCAAAGAAAUUGUCUUUCUUGAAAAAAAAAAAGUAGUACCACUUGACCAGUUGGAACUCUGGAGUACUUCAUCUUCGUUCGCAGCUGUUCUAGUCUCAUAUAUAUGAUUUGUUUGAUUUAACAUGCUUCAUUCGGAGAUGACUAUAAUCACUGUUCAGGAUAAANNNNNNNNNNNNNNNNNNNNNNNNNNNNNNNNNNNNNNNNNNNNNNNNNNNNNNNNNNNNNNNNNNNNNNNNNNNNNNNNNNNNNNNNNNNNNNNNNNNNNNNNNNNNNNNNNNNNNNNNNNNNNNNNNNNNNNNNNNNNNNNNNNNNNNNNNNNNNNNNNNNNNNNNNNNNNNNNNNNNNNNNNNNNNNNNNNNNNNNNNNNNNNNNNNNNNNNNNNNNNNNNNNNNNNNNNNNNNNNNNNNNNNNNNNNNNNNNNNNNNNNNNNNNNNNNNNNNAUAAAUAUGUUAUCUUUUUUAUCUAAUCUGUAUAAUAAUAUCUUCACACUUCAUAGUUCAGAAUUUUACUUUAAAAAUGGACUGUAUAAUGCAUAAAGAGGUAUAUAUCACUGAAUAAUAUGUAUCAAAUUUAAUUGUAGAAAAUUCUUAAAUUGAAAAUGUCAACUCAUUAAAUUUAUAUUUAUCAUCGUUCAUAGAAAUUUUUGAUCAAAUUUAGAUGGUACAUAUAUAGAUUAAGAAAAUGUAAUUGAAAGCUAAUUAUCUCAUAAUGUUUUCUUUUUAAAUAUAAAAAUAAAAUAUUGUGUUCUAUACAUAAUCAAAUAGAGGCAAUAUGAGUUAUCUCGUUAAAUUCUAUUGUCCAAAAUAAAUAAGUAUUCUUUUUGCUGUCUUAAAGACAAAGAAUUGGAUCUGCCUAAAGAAAUUAAAUAAUUAUAUUUCACGUUUAUGUAUCAUUGAGUUAGCAACUAGACAACCAUCAACUAUUGUUCAUCAAUUUUUUUUAAUAGUUUUCUUUUCUUUUAAUGGUUACCUUUCUUAAUAAUUUGUGUCGUAUUCAGUAUUAUUGAAGCGAAUCAAAGAAACCCUUUUUUCAAGUGUAGUAUUUAAAUAUAUGAAUGAUAUGGUGGGAAAAUUGUGAUUUCUUUUUUCAUUUGUUAAUAUAAAAAAUUACCCACCUGGCCUUGUGAACAUACAAUCGUUAAUUUCUUUUAUUGUUUAUUUAUUACUAUUUUUAUUUUGUCUUCAAUUAUUUAUUGGAAUCGAUACCAAAAAUGUUAUUCUUAAUUCCCAAGUGAAAGAGACCCUUUAUUAGUUGGUAUUUUUAAGUUUAAGCAGCACAAACAAACAAACUUAGGUACUUGUCAUUUUAUUUUAAAAUUCAAGAAAUUAAGUUGGAAGCGGGGAUUAUAUUUUAUUAAUUAAGUUUAAUCACGACAGAAAUGGAAGAUCUAAACUUAUCUUCAUGAUAAAAUAAUAUGAUAAUCAAUCCCACAUGGCUACGCAUUUCAAUACAAAUAAUGACACAGGACUGGUAUUCAUAUAUUUUAUAUAUAUAUAUACAUAUAUUAUUCUUACUACUAAGAAUUUAAUAAAAUUCUUAAUCAGUUCAUAAUGAAUAUUAUAAUUAUUGUCAUGAGAUUGUUAUUAAUUUUUUUGAGAAUAAUUUCGGAUUCUGAAGUUUGACCGUGAAGAAAUAAUAAUAAGAAAUUCAUGGAAAGAUGUUCAUUAUAUGUUAAAAUACCAUCAAGUUAUGGGACUUCAGAUUUAAUUUUCUUCUUUUUAAACAGUUGUUAUAUCCUUCCAGAAUCCGAAUAAGAAGUAGCAUCUUUCAUCUUUUGUUUUUUUGUUGUGUGAAACUGUUGUGGAAAACUCAUACUCUCCGAGGACAAGCUCUUUCUGCAGUGGCUAGUGAAGCCAUUGGCAUUAAGGGAAGCAAUCUUAUCUUUAGCCCCAAUUAAGGGAAGAUUUCGAGAUCCUUUUUAGGAGGCAAUUGAGGUAGUAAACUCGACAGAGAGUCAGCUGUAUUAGCAGACCAGCAAACAAGACUACUGAUUGGCUGGCCGGCUAGAAAUGAUAGCGGUGGUGUCUGCCCAAAUGCUUGGCAGUGGUAAUCCUCUUCCUCCUCCUGAAUUUGUUUUCUGAUGUCUAUUGGCAGUCGAGUGAAUGUAACUCAUUUGUUCCAAAUGAUUAUAUAGUUUAUUUCUUUAAGUUUGAGUUCUAGAUGACAUUUUGUUCAUUUCGAGGCAUCUCAAGGAGGUUUUUUGUUUUUCUUUUUUUACUCCAAAAAGAAAAAAACAGAUACGGAGCAUCAAGUUGGAUCAAAGUAAGUAAUAAGGAUACAAACAUACUCCAUGAUAAGCAAAUAAAUUUGUCUUGAAUUUCCAAAGAAUACUAGUACCUCCCAUUCCCAAUUUCAACAUUCCAGUUAACAGUGGGUUUGAAUACCACCCAAAAAUCAAUGCUUUACCCCAAUUUGACACGGGACAGCGUGUUCCUAUCUCUAUACAGAGCUUCUAGCAGCUAUUUCCUGAUGCAACGAGUUCUUUUUUUUUUUUUUUUUUCUUUUUCUUUCUUUUUUAUAAAUGGAUGACUUAAUAAUGACUCAGGAAAGAGCUGUCACUUUUUAACAUCUUACUCUAAUUGUAACAAGAGGAAAGAAAGAAAGAGAGGAAAAGAAAAGAAGAAACUCAGAUUCUGCCUGUUUAUGAAGGUGGUCGGAGUCAGAUUAUUAAUCAGAAUGUGUUGAAGAUGACACAUUAUUUGUCAACUCAGCGAGCUGCUUCUCCUGCUGUUUUUUGAGAUACCUCUGCGCGGUGGCAUUCACAAUCUUGAAAAAGAAGUUCAAGAGCAUGAGCCACACAAUCGUGUUCCACAAUGCAGCAAAGGAGAAAUCCCAUUUUUUCACCUGGGAGAAAGAAACAUUGAAAACAUUUUACUUAGAACAAAGACCGGUAAUGUGAAAUCAAAUUAGAUUCAUGCACAAGUGAAGUUCAAAUUUACAACACAUGUGCACGUUUGCUUGAAAAUUGAACCUUCUACAAUUGAUCCCCAUAACCACAUGCUGAAUCUUUAAUAGUUGUUCACAAAUACCUUGUUACUUGAGGACACAGGCGGUGCAGGUGCCAUAUAUUUUUCUUUAAUCGUAUGCAGUUUGGCUAUGAUGUUGGGCAGCACAGAAGCCAAACCAGGGACAAAGCUGAGCACCCAGAUCAACUCAUUCUCCAUCCAGUUAAGGAGUUGAUUAUUGCAGACAGAUAUAAUGAAAACUGUCUGCAGAAAAAGAAAAUAAAACAUAGAGAAGUGGACACACAUUAGCAUUUCAAAAUAAAACCAAGCACUAAACACCAACUUUUAUGAAAGCAACAAAAGAAUCACUUUUUAUUCCCUUUUUUACCCCAAUCAUUGCGACCGAAAAUUUAGGGCAAUAGAAUAGUCCAUGCAGCAAAGGCUAGUCUAAACUGUCAAACAUCCAAGAUACAAGUACUAGAAAACAUGACAAACCUGUAUAUGAGUUUUGAUAAUUGCCUUUCCUAUCAAUGUUGCAAAGAAAAACUUCCAGAAUGAAAUCCCAAAUUGUCCACACAUAAUGCCGGCAAGAUCGAACAGGGGAUUUGGCACCUAAAAAUAAAAAUUAUAGUUGAUCAGCAACACAUGUUAACAAAUACCAUAGAGGAACUCAUCACAGGUGAUAAAUGCUUCAAACUAACCGAAGCAAGUACUAAAAUUGUGAAGAAGUUUAGAUGUUGUGAAUGUGACAGAAGCCAUCGUUUUAUUGCAUUGAGGUGAGUAGCUAUGAAUCCACUAUCUUCAGAUGAGGAAGCAUUUAACUCUUCCAUGGCAUCCACUUUACUACCUGAUACGCUUGCUGCACAAAGUGGGCACAUUAUCACAUAUAAAACUGAUAAUCAUGUCAAUUUUCUCAAUAGAUAGAUUCUCAGUUGCCAAACUUAUUCAUGGUGAAAAGUCAAAACAAAAGAAAAGAAGAAACAGUUUUCAUCUCUUAUGAACAGCAAUGAACUCAUUUAGAAAAAUAAACAGUAUUAUGUAUCCAGCAUUUACUAGUGUGAAAACACAUAAGCAAAACUGGAUAAGCAUCUGUCCUGUGUUUCAUUAGUACCAUUUCCACCAACUUCAACCAAAAAGCAGCAAUAGGUUAGGCAAGUGUCAAAACAACCUUAAAUCUAGACUUCUUCCAAAAAAAACUAGUUUAGCAUAUCCUAUUCUACAUAGCUUCAAGGACAUAGGGGAUGUGGGUACAUAUAGCACUGGAUCCACAGCCCCUUAGUAUUAGAACAUCGGCAGAUGAAUUCUGAAAUAAAAAUCCAUUCCUCAGUUGCUUUGUUGACAGUUAGACAUGCAACAUAGAAUCACAGCAGACACGUUAAAAGAUCUAUCUGCUAUUCUCAGAUGCUGCAAUCAUACUGAAGUAUCUUGCCACAUAAAGAUAAAGGGAUGCCAAGGCUGAUCUAAAUUCACCUUCAGAACAACAGAGUUCAGAAAAAAAAAACUAUGGCAUUGUGAUUCUAUAAUAUUAUAAAAAUAACAAUGGCGCUUCAAAAAUCAAAAUGGUCUCUAAAAAUCUCAUUCUUAGAAUAUUAUAUCAACAUCAUGUAGGAUAUAUUCCCAAAAUAGAUAAGCAUUACUAUUCCUAUGAAGCCAACAUUAACAUCCCUCUGGACAAACUUUAAAUUAUAUAAUGAGGCAGUUAUAUAGAAAGAAAAUCCCAAACAUGACAGCUAAAAGCAGACCUGCUCUUGAGAUGAAAUAAGGAGGAAGCUCUCCAAGUGCAGUCCCGACUCCCCAUAAGACAGCUUCUAUCUGGACCUGUGGCAAUAUGCUGCUAAGUGGAACCCUCAACCCGUGAGAUAAUGGGAACACUGGGUCUCCAAAUUCAUGGCAAUCUUUAUCAAGCCAUGAAGGCCCUCUUUUAAGCUGUAUGGUAUCGUAUAUGGCACUUUUUAGAUCAACUCGGCCACACUGCAUUGCUUUUAUAGUGAACAAGGCGAUAUGGGGACCCAGAUAAAGGACAAAAGUAUGCAAUCCAGACCCUGUACAUUUUAAGAUAUACGCAAAGAGAGAGACAAAGAGAUUCAGGUGCGAGGAAAAAUUAAACCUAGAUUUGCAAUGCAGCAUGAGUUUCACAUGUGUAAUACAAUUAAUGUAAGGUCUGAUUACAAUGUUUAAUUUUAUGAUUUAAGAGCUUUAUUUUGCAUAAAAUGAGUUCAAUCAUGGUCAGGGACACCUUAAAAAUAAGGUGAACAUUUUAACCACCAUGCUUCAAAUGAAGAUUUGAUCUACAUUUAUCAUAUCCUUAUUUGCUCAUUCUGAAAACUUCACUGGGAAGAAAUAGAUAAGAAAAAAAAAAACAGAAGCCACUAUUACAUAAUUCAGCAGCUCUUUGAAGUAAGCUCUCAGUACCAUUAUUUCAGAAUCGGUAGCUGAGUUAAUAAUAUACUUAUUGACGUAAAUUCAGCAGGUAAGCUUAUUUGGCAUUUGACUAUAGAGCAUUAAAGGGGAACUUUUAAGUCCUCGAGCAGUAUGGCUACAAUGUUAAACAAAAUCGUUCCAAGCUUUGAGGUAUUAAUAUCCUUGAGAUAAGUUCUCCCAAAUCCCAUAAUAGAGCCUUUGAUAAUCCAAACAAAUUCUGCUUACCAAGACCAAUUGAAGAUGCAACACCAAGGGCAAUCCACCACAAUCCAAACCGGGAAUAAUGAGAAAGUUCGUCAAUAUGCUGCAGAAGCAUGCAGCAACACGUAAGCACAGCAUAUGAUAGAUGUUAAGAAGGGAUUUAACGACAAGAAAGAAAAAGAUAACGUAGAACUUAUCUAGAUCUUAUUCACAAUUGUGGAGACGAGAUCUAAACAAUUUUAUAUUUGCAUCAUCUAUAAUACAAUUACCAUAGCAAAAUACAAACAAAGCGUCUCCAACACCUACACAAAAUUACAUGCUGUGCUUGCACAAAAACGUAUUAAAGGCUAAGACUGUCAGCAAUUAUAAUACCUUUUCAUGAGGGCCAUCAAUAGUCACGAGCAGAAUUCCAAUUGCUGCCACCAUAAUGCUUAAAAGCAUUAGCCAACCGCCUUUUGCCAAGAGGUAUAGCACUGAUUUCUUAAAAUACUGAAUCAUAGCCAAAAUAAAAAACUUCAACGUUUUAAGAGGUUGAGUUGUCAGUGUCAAAUUUUCUAGCUCCUGUUGCUGCCUCUCAUGAAGACCUGCAAAUUGUUUCAGCAGUUCAGCCAAUAAAAUUUGGUAGCAAUCAAAAUUUGCAUUCCUUCCAACCUAUAUACUAAAAAAUUGUUUCACCAAAUAUCUAUACUUUGUAAGCGGCAUAAAUCAACCUAUAUACAACUAUAGUAAUCGGCAUUCAAAUAAGAGCUAAACUAUCUGAUGCCAAUUAUAAGUGCCUAAAUCAUCAAGAUACUAAUUUUAACUGGAAAACAACCUCUUUGAGAACGGAAUACAGAUAAACCAAUUUGUAUCACAAGCAAACUAAAAAUAACCAUUGACCAUCACAUUUCUUCUUAUUAUUUGAUUGUUCAAACAUUAAUGUUAAACAUUAAUGUUAAACAUUAAAAAUCCGUGCUUUAAAUACAAGCGGAAUAAAGUUCAACAGCGAUUCAACAAACAGUAAAAGAAAAAAAAGGCCUUCCCCAACCAAAAAUUAGAAAUAAGUCAAUUGUAACCCAAACUGGUAAAGAAAUUUGGAUAUUUGUCAAAAAUAAACCGUAGAUCGGAUAAUCUGAACUGCGGGAACACAGCGAUUCAAGUUUUUCAUAUUCAGAUUAUAUAAAACAAACGGAGCUGAAUUCGAUAUUUCAUACAAUCAAGAAUCGGUUAUUUUCUGAAAAAAGCUAAGAACUUGGAUGCCAAAUACACAAAAUUAAGAUAGACAAAACCACAUGUAUAUGUAUAGAUAAAGAAACAAAAAGAAAAACUGAAAGAGAAAAGCUUGCCUGAUAUAUCCAUAUCCAAAUUUUGAGAAGAAGAGGUCGCUGCUUUGCCUGACCCCAUUACCACAUCACAUACUAUAAUUAAAAAAAUUAAAAAAAUAAAAGCUCUACGCUUUUCUGCUUUAUCUAGAAAUUUUGAAACAAAAUUACUAAUGGGUGUGCUUUUUUGGGUAGAUUUUGAAUUGGGCAAUUGAAAAGAGAAACAAAAACAAAAACAAUCAGCACAUGGGUAACUAAUUGUUUAGCAGACAAUGAUGAAUAAUUGCUGGUUUAGAAAGAAAGUGGAGAUCCAAAACUGAUAAAAAGAAAGGAAUUGAGAGAAGAAAGGGAAGAGAGAGUUUGCGUGGAGAUCUCGCAGUGGAGCUUUUAUCUCUCUCUCUUUUUUAUUUUCUUUCUUUGUUCGUGUGGGAUUUAAAAAAAAAAAAAAACAACAACAACAACAAACUUAAGAAUUGGAGGAGAGAAUGACAUAAAAAGUUUCUUUUUAUUACCAAAAAACUUGAUAAUAUUCCUAACCUAAUCAUCGAUAAAUUCAGAUUUUUUUUUAUUUAUGAGAUAUUUAACUACAAAUUUAGAUAUGACCAUCUCUUCAUAUUCAAUAUAAAAAUAAUAAUAAUUCAUUUAGUGAAAAAUAGAAGCUUGAGCUAUAAAUAUUUAUUUUAAAAAAAUAAUAUUUUUAUAGCUUAAAAUAGGUUUUAAAUAUUUAUACAUUGUUUCGUAUUAAAAAUUUUACAACUGAAUUGACCCAACUAUUUGAAAGUUCGAUAUAAAAAUAAUAAGUACUAUAUUACUAACUCAAAUUUAAAUUAAUUUUUCUAUAAUGAGAAUAUAAAUUCUUAAUCUUACAAAAUCGUCCUAAUUAAAUUAGAUGAAAAACCUAAUAGUUUUCUUAUUUAAUAAAUCACCUUAUUUAAAGAAUUAUUUUUAAAUUUAUAUCUUUGAAUUAAAUUUUAAGGUAAUUCAUAUAAUUAUAUAACUAAUUGAUAAUGUUGCCUUCAUAUAUCAAAUAAUAAUCUAUAAAGAUAAAUAAUCACAUGCUAAAUUAAUUAAUAAUCUGAAAAAUCAAAAAAAAUAUUAAAUUAUUUUUCCAAAGCAAGAUUUAACCAUACACAAUAAGAGAGUUAAAAUCUAAAUAUAUUAGUUUUUCUUCAAAAUUUAAGUGUUUCCUCCUUUCCAUUAGCUUUAAUGAAUUGCCCAACUCUAACAUAAUAUCUAUUUAGCUUAUAAAUAUAAAAUUAGGAUCCAAAACUCAAAACUAUUUAUCUUGAAAUUAGUUGAGAUGUACCCAUCUGAAGUCAAAUGUGUGUGCUUCAUCAUCAACAAAUUAUUGCAAUUCCCACUAAAAUAACUUUCUAGUAAUUAAGAACAUAACACAUUUUUGGUUACUUUGCAAAAGCCAUAUAUUAAAAUCCUCCAUGUUAUGGGCAAACUCCAUAUCAAAUUAAGGGUCAACAAGCAUUAAAUCCAUGUAGCAAAAGCAAAGAAAAGGUCUCCUCUGAAAUUAUUUGCUCAUUGGUCAACAAAAAAGUCUAUUAUAUGCUACAAUUAAAGUCAGUCAUACAUACAUAUAUUUGACACUUCUGCUCAAAAUUGAGACCCUUAUUUUAGAUGCUCAUAGAGUAUAAUAGGAUUUUUUUUUUUUCCCCUUAUUCUCAUGUGUUAUAAAAUUGUGUAUUAAGAUUAAAAAGAGAAUAUUUAAUUUCCACAUGGUAUAAUUCUUCUUUAAAUUUCAUUUCCUUCUCAUGUGGUUGAACAUUAUAUAGUGUCAUAUCUUUUUUUCUUCAGUGACAUUAUCAUAGACCUACUGUUUUUCUUUCUUGGGUAAUAAAUUAGUCAAUUCAUCAAUUACAAAGUGAUACUAACAAAAAGAAAAUAAUUGGAUUUAAACUGACUGACCUGAUUAAAUUACUCUUCUUUUUUUUGGGGGGGGAAAGGUCAUGUGCGAGGCACAUGCUAACCAUUUUGUCCUUUAUUGCCUGGAGAAAUACUAAAAUAAUUAAUAGAUAAUGGAGUUUUGUAUUAUUAACGUUAAUAAAUUGAAAAACCAACAGAUCAACUAAAUAAACUGAAUUAUGUCUUUAUGGGCUGCAUGUGCCGUGGAUCAUGCUGAGUCACAAGGCACAGCAUUUGUGUUUUUGUAAUUUGUUUAAAUAAAUAAUGACUAAAAUAUUGAACAAUUAUUAGGUUCUUUAAGUGUAGAAGAUUGAUGAGAGUUUAAGCAAAAUUAUUAUUGGAUUUCACGUAGGAGGUGCUAAUAGAAUAGUUUAGAAAUGAUAAUCUUUGUUGCCCAAACUUCAAAGUCUGUUUUCUGGGUAUUUCUAAUUCAUGGAGAGGGGACCCAAGAAAACGCCAUUUACUUAUUGCUAAAGGAUACAUCAAUUUUCAAAUAUUUUUAUAAUUAAUAUGUAUUACCAUGUUUAAAAUUAAUAUUUAUAAAUAAAAAAAUAUAUAUUUGGUUAAAAAAAUUAGAAGAUAGAUACAGUGAUAAUGCCUAAUCCACUAGAAAGAAGUGUAUAAAAUCAGCCACUAAGAAUAUAAAAUCUAAGUUAUUCUAUCUUCUUUUUAGAAUAUAAAAAACUCGUUAAACUAAUUGAUAGAAUAAUAAACAUAUGGUCAUAUACAUGGCUAUUAUUUAUAAUUAAAAUCAUAUGUAAUAUUACCUAUAAUAUUAAUGGGUUCUACGAAAAGAAGCGAGCCAAAGGUCCGAAACACAUAAAAAAAAGAUCCAUGAACCUUAACAGGGCUUGGGCCUCUAUAAUGAUGAAGAUCGCGGGCUGGGCUUUUCGGUUCUUGCAGCAAGCUCCACAUGACAGCAGCUGUUCUUGUCGAUUCCUGCAGUUUUACUUUCUAUUGAAAAGAAUACAGAAUUCACUUAUAAAAAUUUAAAUUUUAUUAGAAAAUAUUUAAAAAUGUUUUAAAGUUGUUAUUAUCUUAAGAAUAUAACCCGUAAAGAAACAUGUAGAAUAGUAUUAAAUUAUUUGUAUAAAUAUAUUUUAUAUAAUUAUUUAUAAUUAAAUAUUGACGACCAUGGACGAUAAGAUGAUUAGCUUAUAUUAAUUCAAUCAUUUUUUAGUAAUUAUUCUCACUCUUUCUUAUAAAAAAUUUAGAAAAAGAAAGAAAUUUAAAUGAAAAAUUAGUUAUGUUUUCCUUUUGCUCCUCUCAAUUUCUUUUGUUCUUGAUUCAUAACUAAGAAAUUAAAUGAAUGCAAUAUUCAUCGAUUUGAUCUUUUAAAGUAAAAUCAACAUUAGAGAUUGAAUUUCUAAUAUCUCAAUUAGAAAGGGCAUCCAAAUAUUGAAUUAAAGAUCAAUAAUAAUAUAUUAGAAAAACUGCAUUCAUUCAACAGAGUUCCGAAUGUGCUCAAGAACUUCCUCCAUAAGGACAGUUUCAACAUCUAUACCAAGAAGGACCACAUUGACUUUGCCACAUCGACAGAUUGAAAUAAAAUCCAUGAUAAUGGAUAAUUUCAUAUAUAAAAUCCAUUGACUGCCUAAAAGUCAAGUAAUCCUUCAUACUCAAAUGAAAAUGCACAAAGAAAAGGAGAAGUCUCUCAGAAGUAAUACUUUUAAUAAUUACAAUAAUAUUUAGUAUCAUACCCUGCAUGCGAAGUGAAUAAACGUUGUUAGAACUUGCCAAAUUAAUAAACAUUUGACCACAUUAAUAAUAUUUAGUAUCUUUUUUUUUUUUCUUCUGAAAGUUAUGAUAUAAAUAAAGAAUUUUAGAUUUUUCUCUGCCUGUUUUGAUAAAUAAAACUACAUAAGUGAAAAUGAUGUUAAACGAAAUACAAGUACAUUACCCACUACACUAAUAUUGUCUAUAUAUACAAAUUAAGUUAGUUUUAUUUCUUUUCCAGUAAUUAUGGACAAACCAUACCUCAAAGCUUACAAAUAUUUUGACUCUUUUUUCAUUUCUUAUUUUAAAAUUUUAAAAUUAUUUAUCAAAAAAAAAAUUGUCAACAUUGAUGAGGUGUAGCUAGCUGGCACAUGCGACACAUGUAAAUUAUCUCCCAAUUUGGAAACCUUUUCGUCUAGAUUUGGUAUAUUUGACAUAUAUUUAUUAAUUUUAAAUAAUAAAAUAUGUAUUAAUUAUUUAAUAUCAAAGUAUAAAACACUUUAAAAUUUAUGAUGUCGCUCUUUUAUAUAUAUAUUUUUUAUUUUUUUAUUGCUUUACUUUUAUUUUGAAAAAAGCAAAAAUUACUUAUUCAGGGAUUGAUAGAUUUCCUAGAGGUACAAAUGAGAGCUGAUGAAGGGAAUUGAAUAUCAAUUUAUAGUUUAAUUCCUUUAAUGGAACUGGAAAGUUCCAUUUAUUGAAUGUCAAGUGCACAUUAAUUCUGAUUGCCAAUUUUCUUUUUCUUUCACAAAAUAUGCUGAUGUGUUCUAAGUAAGGAAUAAACCUCAUCCAUAAAGUUUCCCUUAUAAUCAUCUGUUUAAUUCCCUUUUGUGGUGAGGGUGAAGAAAAAUGUUAGACAUUUAAAAUUAAUAAUAAUCCAUAACUACAACCAUUAAUGUUUGUGUACCGACUCCUGCAUUCUAUAAUAUAUUUCUAUUUUAACAUACAAGAUUAAUAAGUACAUAAAUAUAAUAAUUAAUAUUAAAUUAUUAACUUAUGUUUAAUUAUAAGAUACUCAAACUACAUAUAAUUGAUUCAUUUAUUAGGUUAGGUUAGGUUGUAUACACAUGGAGUUACUGAGUUUUAUCCAUCUCCAUAUAUUCUAAAUUUGUUUUUCCACUAAAACAUCAAAAUUCACCUCUUUUGGCAAAUAUUUCCUCAUUCACCCCAUAUCAAACUAAUCAUUGUCCAAACCCUAAAUUAAGAAAAAAGAAGACCCUUUCGGUGACAGCCUAAGAGAGGGAUGCAGGAGCCUUUAUGGAUUAAUUAUUGAUUUAAAACUGCUUAAUUUCCCACCUGAUCUCUCUUUAUUCUUCUUAAUGUGCUUCGCUACCUUCCAUGGCAAACAAGAAAAGAAGAGUAUCCCCUACUGGAAUAACUUCAUCUUUAGUUAUUGCAAUUUGUCAAUGUUAAAAGGCAAAGGGAAUUUCUUUGUCGUGUGCCUCCUGGUAUCAAAAUUACAACAACCUUUCUCUUUUCUUUGCUUUUUCAUUUCAAAAUUCAAGAUAUGCCAUGGAAUUGCAGCAGGUAGAAAAUGAUUUUCAAAAAGAUAAAAGAAACAUUUUACUAUUCUUUGAGUUGAGAGAAAAAAAUAAAUCAAUUUAGUUAGAUGUUUUAUUCAAAAGUACAUUUGAUAAAAAUAAUCUAUAAAUAUUUAGAAAAUCAAUUUUUAAAAUUUAAAAAAUAUUAAACCUGUUUUCUUAAUACUCAAUAAAAACAUAUUAUCCUACAAAUUCUCUUUAUGAAUUUUAUUGUACCCACUCGGUUAAAAAGCUUUAUUAUUCAAUUUUUUAUCGUUUGACGUCGUAAUAUUUCUUAGAUUUAUAGUGGCUCAAUUAAAAAAAAAAAAGAUAUUUCUUCACCAUUUUUUCUUUUUUAAAGAAAAAAGAAAGAAAACAGAUAGAUAAAACACUGAAUGAGUACAGAAAUUGAAUGGAAAGGGAGGAGAAAUAACAUAUUGGUACGUAUAGGAUGUGAAAAUAACAUAUACAUCCAUUAGUUUGUUUGUUUCUAGCAGUCACGUAAUUGUAUAAAUAUGAACCACAAUUAUUUCUAUCUCUUUUGAAUUGUACAACAGAAAAGUUCCUCCUCCAUAAUGUUGAAAGACUGAUAUUUAUCCCUACUUCUCUUAUUUCUCAUCUACCAGAGUAUCACAUUGCCCAACUAAAUUAUAUAUUGCGGUCCACUAAUGAAGGUGCACCAUUAAUAGUGAUAAUGAGUGGUUUGCCUUUAAUUGGUUUAUGUUUACAAGUCAUUGUGUACAUAAGACGAUAAAAUGUAUUUAUAGCUGAGUAUUGAAUAUAUAGAACGUGUUUUGAUUCGGCCGCUUAAUAUAACUAAUAACUAAUAACUGAUAAAUUAAAUUAUUUAUUAGAAUUUUACGGUUGUUGUCAGUAUAUUAAAUAACUAUUGAGGGUAUAAUUUAUUGUUAAAUAUAUUUUAUUUUAUUAUAUUAUAAAUUUAAUGAUAUAAAUUAAUAAAAAUAAUUUAUAAUAAUUAACAUACAAUAAUUAAUUUUUUAGCUUAAUUAUAUUUAUCAUUGAAAAUAUCUAUAAAAAUUAUUUUAAAAAUAGAAAUUUUGUAUUCAAAUUUAAAUUUUAUUAAUGAAUUUUUUUAUUUCAAAUACAAUAAUUAUAAAUAUUAUAAUUAUUAUAAAUAAUUAUAGAAUAAUAAGUAUUUAUUAUAAAAUAUAAAAAUUUAAUUAUAUGAGAUCAACUUAAAGUGAGUUAUUAUUAAUUGAUUCUAAUAAAAAUAAUGGUAUUUAAAUAAAUAAAUCAAAUCAAAUUAGCAAUUAGCUUAUAAGAAAAAGUUCUAAAAUAAAGCUGAUAUAAUCAACAGUUGAUUGAGAUUAAAUGAGUAACUGAUUAAGAUUAAAUCAGUUAUCAGUUUACAAAAUAUUUUAAUAUAUCUGUUCAGCUCGAAACAAUUAUCAGCUAUAUUAAAUUUUUGAAUUAAACACUUUUAUUAUUAUAUUUGAACUUUUUAAAAUAGCACUUUAUAAUCUACAAAAACCAUAUCAAACACAUUUUAAAUUAAUUAAACUAGCUCUAUAUAUUAGAUAUAAAUAAUUAAAUCCAUUUGGGAAAAGGCUAAAUAUCAAAUAAUAAAGUCGUGCUAAGAAAUUUCACAUUUAAGUUUAAUUCACCUUUUAUUAUCUAAAAAUAAAUAGUGAAAACCAUUGGAACCUAUAAAUUUUACUUUUUUCGAUGUUAUUCAUUGGAAACAUAAAAAAAAAAAUCACUUAAUGCUUAUGAUAAAUUUUAAACAUUAAAUAAUUAUUUACUCGUGAUUGUACGAUUUUAUUAGUAUUUUAAUUAUAAGAUUAAAUUUAUAGAGUAAAAUCUAACAAAAUGUAAAUGUUUAAUAUUUUUUUUAUAAUAUGUUAAAAAUAAUAGUAAAUAAAAUAUUUUUAAUGGCUUUUAAUUUUUAGUAUUUUAAAAUUUUAUUAAUAUAUAAUAUAAACAUUAUAUUAAAAAUAUUUAUUAAUUGACAUAGUAUUAUGUAUAUAAGAAAAACAAGUCAUCUGAAACGUAUAGGGGACAAGCUUGUCAUUGUCAUAUAGAAUUUCCUUAUGAUCACAAGUAACCAAACGGUCCAAAACUUAUCAUCAAAAUUUAUAGUUAGGUGUGACACAUCUUUUCUUCCAAUAUAACAAAGGGUCUCAACUUCCUUUGAACAUUAGAUGUCAAAAUUGAUACCGUUUUGUAUUACCAAUUGUCAAUCCGAAUUUAGUGCAAUCGCUAUAGAUGGUGUGGCUAAUGGGAAAGAUGACACUUGUCAAAAGAUUAGCCUUUCCUCCAAGAAAUAAAGAAAUGUAAGUUCUUUUCCUGAUGCCCAGCUCUAUUGCUGUGGCUGCCGAGUACAGUUGCUGAAAAAGGUUACCUGCCGAGUCUAGCUGCUCUUAUUAUUUAAAGUAGAGAUUUUGAAUUUGAAAUACCAGGAAGAUAAUUCUCUACAUUUUAAAAAUUAUAAAAAAAGUGAAAUCUAUAAUAAUUUUUUUAAAAAUUGGAAUAAUUACAGCAGUGGUUAUUUAAUUAUGUAUUUAAUUUUAAUUUAUAUUGCAUUACAAUAAUUUAUUUCACAAGGGUCGUUUAGUUUUAAGUUGAAUUUCAAUUUAUUUUACAUUAACAUUUAGGAUAUCUAAUUUUAUUCACAUUAUUUUUUUAUAGUUCUCAUUUUAUUUAGCAACAUACAUGUUUAUUUAAAAUUGUAUUUAUCUCGAUAGAUUUUUAAGUGAAUUUGCCUAAUAUAUUGUUUGAAAAGAUUGGAAGGCCACCUACCCACCCAUCUCUUAAAUGCAAAACAUUGAAUUGAACUUGUUUUUUUGGAACACUGAAGUUGUUCAUUUUGGUUUAUAUUAGUUUUUCUAAUGUUGGUUCCUACAUAAUGAGAAACUAAAGCUCCAUUUGUUCAUAUGAAAUACUCUGCUUUAAAAAUAUCAUUUUUGGUGUUUGAUACUUGAAAAAAAUGAUUAAUUUGUAGAUUUCUAUUUGAGAAAAGAAAAAUCAUUAAUAAACAUGAAAUAAUUAAAUCAUACAGAACAAAAUCGUCAUGUCCAUGGCUGUAUACUUGAAUCACUUGUAUCAAGAAGAUAAAUCACAGUUUAUGGAAUUCCCUCUUGUGGUUCAAUUCCAGCAUCUAAACGCAUUUGAACCGCCUCAACAGCUAUACUAUUAUCCAUUUUCUUUUUGGUUUACUAAAAACGAAACACUUCUAUUUUCUUACAUAUAGCAGUUCAAAUCAAAUUAACAAGUUCCCACCUGCGGAACUUGUAUUUUUCCUGUUAACUUCCACUAACACAACUUAUCAACUUACUUGAUAAUAAUCAUUAUUAUGAUUAUUAGUAUUACCCGUCAAGCACUUUAAGCACACAUGUCAAAAUAAAUUAAUAGAAAAAUUUAUAAAAUUAUAGAUAAGUUUGAUUCUCAUGUGUAAAAAAAUAAGUACAUAUGUCAAAAAUAAAAGUCUUAUGUGUCAAAAAUUAAACAUACACAUUAAAAGUUUUUAGAUUUCAGAAAUUAACAUGUAUCUAUAAAUUUUGAAAAACUUUUAAAAACAAAUUUAACAUGUUUUCUAUAUUUUUCUUUAUAUAAAAAGCACCUAAAAACAAAGAGUUUUUACUUUUUCUGAUUCCAAGUCUACUUUCUAUAUUUAAAAUAUUACUUAAACAGAAAGUAAAUUUUUUUUUUUAUAAAGUAAAUAUAUUUUAUAAACUUUUUAUAAAGAUCUUGAAAAUUAGAAAAUAAAAAUGAAAACAAUUUCUCUACAGCUUCUCAUUUUAUAAUAUUGACUUUGAGUAGACAAUAGUAUUAUAUGCAAUACCUUGAUCAUUUUGUAACAAUGUGUCUUCUAAGAUCCGUGUUAUCAAAAACUUAUUUUUUGGAUUCAUAAUUAUAUUAUUAUGUUAAUAAUAAAAUAAUUUAAUCAAUCAGUGAGUACAUAUAUAUAGUUCAGUUGGAAUGUUUUAUGAUGAUCAUUUUACAAUAACUUUUUACAAUAAUUUUUUUGUAUAUAAUGAUAAGUGAGUCCGUAUAUAUAUUAAUAACAACUCCCAUAUUCUGGUAUGUUUAUUAGAUCUCACUUGUAUAAUAAUCAUUAUAAACUUUCUUUUGUUCAUAAUUAAAUGAUGAUUCCUAUUCGAUCUUCAAUUCUCAUUCAUUACAAACUUAAAAAUAGUCUCAUUUAUAUUUAUUAUGAAAUAAUUAAAGCAAAUAAUUAUUAAUUCUUUAUCGAUCAGUCUGAUAUAUACUUGUCGAUCAAAAUAAUAAUAUGCACAUAAAAUAUAAUGCAUUCACCUUUUGAUCAAUAGACAUUAUAAACAUCGAUUAAAUCAUGUAAUAAUUUAGGUUAACCCAUUAUGAUACAUUUUCCUUCAAUUAUCAUGGCAAUCAUAUCUAAGAACUUUUAGGCAUCAUUGGUCCACGGGUAGCCAGCAUUGGUCACCAACACAUUGCUAAAAAGACUUUCAGAUUUGUUUUUAUUUUUUAAUUUAAAAUUAAAAUAAAAAAUACAAUUUACUGACGGGUUUAAAUUAAUUUUCAAGUGUUUUCUUUAAACACUUCAAGCAUCAGAAAAUAGCGAUCAAAUGAUUUUUCGUGUAUAACCAAACAACAAUAGUUAUUAUUAUCUUUUUUUGCGCAAAUAAAGUUAAGACCAAAUAAUUACAUCACAAGUUUGAAACUUUCUUAAGUUGUGAAGGAAUAUUAGUCCAUGUCAUAUUUAGGUAGAAUUUUUUAAAAAAUUAAAGAUUUUUUUAAUAAAUAACUAUUCAUUUUUUAAAUUUAAUUUUUUGAAAAACUUUAAUCACUUAAUUUGGAUUUGAUGAUGAAAAUUAUAGAAGCUGAUGGUAGCGUUUUUAUUAAAAAGGGAAGUCCUAAUAGGAACAGGUACCUGUCCCCUCAAUUUCCUAUAUUAAGUUAAUGCAGAAGCACGACAAAGGGAACAGGCAGUUGUUCAAUCUUGAAUGGAAACAAACAAUUAACUUAACCAUAUGAUUAUCUUUCCAAAUUUAGAAUUUUAUUACCAUUCCCUGUUAUAACAAAAUCUUGUUAACGUAACAACCUUCUAACCCCACAAUGUUUCAGUUUCAGUUCCAGUAUUUUAUAAGCAUACACACAGGUCGCAUUGAAAAUUAAAUUAUUAUAAAACCAUACAACACAAAAGAAGAGGCUUAGAAAUAGCAAAAUACGUAAUGGAAAUCAUCUUUAAAUAAUAUAUAUUCUUACUCUGAUGAUUUAUAUCCAACUUCUGAUACUUAAGAUACAUAUUAAUUUCUUAUCUAAUAAUAAACCAUUUAUAAUGCGCUUCACUCACUCGUCCAAAAGUAGUCAGGUUAUACAAAAAAGUUAUGUGGCAUUCCAUCCGAUUUUACCAUCCAUUUCCCUGUAAAAUAGUGUCCGGAUAAACAGGCUUGUAAGAUAUAGUCUUCCAGCAAGGUUACCGAGGAGACACAUGCCUGCAUAACUACUAAGGAACACGGAAAAGCUCUUCGGCUCUCACAGGGGUAGAAGAUGAUGCACAUUCAUCCACAAUCUUCUCCUUACAUUUUCACAAAGAGCUGUUUCCACGAAUCGAAACUUUUAAGAAUCCGUUUCAUUCAAAGUUAGAAAUGAAAAAAGAACUAAAAAUGAAAAUGGAAGGAUUAUAUUUAUAUAUCGUUUGGUUCAAUAUGAAAUCAUAAUAGUGCUUAAUUAUAGUUAAAAAAAUAAUGAUGUUUAAUUUAUAGUUAUUAUAGACAAUAAAUAUAUAGAAAAUAUUUAUAUAAAUGAUAAAUUAUUAUUUCAUUUAUUUGAUCAUUUAUAAUCAAUNNNAAUAAUUAAACAAAAAUCAUUAGUUGCUGAGUGAAUGGUACAAAAUUUUUCGUAAUAAUAGAUAUAAUUAGUAUAUGUUAAUUUCUUUUAUUCUUAGCAUGUGAACAAAUAUUUAAUUUUUUUAAUUAAUAUCACUAAAUAUUUUUAAAUAAUAUACUUUAAUAUAUCUAAUUUUAUAUUAGUUAUUAUAUUCUAUUAAAUUUUAAAAUAAAAAUUAUAAUUACAUUAUAUAUAUAUAUAUACCAUAAUUAAAAAUGGCAACGAGAUGAUUAUUUACAUAAUAUUAUUCUAGUCUAAUAAAAUUUUUUUUUUAUAGACUCAUCAUCUAUAUCCAUAAAUUAAAUCAAUUGGAUAGUCAUAUAUAGCUUUAUUUAUUAAUUAUUAAUAAAAUCCUUAUAUUUGAGUUACCGUCAUAUACCAAAUAUUAGUAUAAUAAGUGAGCUUUGUGUUAUCAUAUUUAUAAUAAAUUAUAAAGCUAAAGCAAAGCAAAGAUCCCAGAAAGGAAUCAAUGUUUUUGUCUGGAGAUCUACGAGAAACCAGUGUGAACUGAGGGAUCAUACGGACAUAUAGAAGUUCCUAUGUGGAUACAAAAUAGUACAAGAAUCAAAUGUACAACAAAGUUUGUAGUUUAUUUUGCUGAAAGAUGUAUUUUAUUGGUUUUGGGGUUGACACGGAGGAAUCUGGUUCCUUAAUUAUGUCAUAGUAAAAGAAACAAAAUAAAUACCCACUAAUAAGUUAUCGCCAACAGUAUUUAUAAGACUUCGGGUAAAACAUUUGGAAAUUCAGAGAGUCUAAGCAAGUCCAGAGACUGAAGAAAUAUUACUGCCUCAAACACGCAAACAAAGGGCUAAACCAUUGCUAAUCUUUCCAUAAACUUUGCUUACAUUUGCCAUCUCUUUUUAAUACCAAUCCAUUAUUCAACACCAACUUCUCACUUCAAGAAUCUUUCCCUAUUAUUCUUGUCCAUCUCUCUUCUACGUAUUUAUUCCUAGAUAGGUAUUGUUCAGACUCGAGAUAUGUUUCGGAAAACAAUGGAAGUCUUCUGUGCGCAGCCUAGAAAUCAGCCAAACGGCGGCACGGUGACAGAGAGAUUUAAGAUCAAAGGAACAGUGGUUUUGAUGAAGAAAAAUGUUCUCGACUUCAGUGACAUUAAAGCUUCAUUUCUUGAUCGAGUUCAUGAGUUGCUGGGGAAAGGUGUUUCUAUGCAGCUUAUUAGUGCCGUACAUCAUGACCCAGGUCAGCUCUCCUUCUUCUCUCUCUUAACAUCUUUUGAAUGGUUGCAGGAAAAGAGAAACAUGGAUUAAAAAAAUAGUGGAGGACGUUUUUUUUUUUUUUUUAAUCUGAUAAAGUCAAUUGACUUCUUUUGAUUUUUUUUUCACAUUUUCCAGUCUAUUAUUUGUAGUCUCAUCUACCCAUUGUUCACAUUCUCUAGCCAAAAAGGGGACAAAAAGAAAGAACUACGUAAUCAAAUUCAACGUUUAUUGAUUUAUAAGUGUUGCAACUUCAACUUCUUCUUUAAAGCUAAAAAAACUGGGAAAAUUUUGUGUUGGUUUGUUGUUUAGCGAACAAGCUGCGAGGGAAGCUUGGAAAAGUGGCUUACUUGGAGAAAUGGGUGAGAAGUAUUACUCCAAUAACCGCUGUGGAUACAGUUUUCAACAUCACUUUUGACUGGGAUGAGAGCAUGGGAGUUCCUGGAGCUUUUAUAAUUAGAAAUCAUCAUCAUAGCCAGUUAUACCUCAAAACAGUAACUUUAGAUGAUGUUCCUGGGCAUGGUAGGGUACAUUUUGUCUGCAAUUCUUGGGUGUAUCCAGCUCAUUGUUACAAUUAUGAUCGAGUCUUCUUCUCUAACAAGGUACAUAAUUGAAUCUUUCUCCAUUAAACUAGAGGUUGAGGGUAUCCAUUAUGUAGUCAUUUUACAGUAUACAUCAAAUCCUAUAUUAGCAUAUGUUUCAAGUAGCUAGUGUCCUGUUUUAUUUACUUUUGGAGUUUCAACCCCAGUUACAGAAAGUCUUUUUAUUUGCUUUCCUUGAUUUCGUGGUAAUAUCCGCAAGAGUAGUAAUUUCCCAGACAGUCAAUUUCUUAAAGGAUUGAGAUACAGAGUUUUUUUUUUUUUUUACUGUUGUUUAUCUCUUAAUGGUUAAUGCAUUAGGCAUACUGUUCUUAUCAAUUUUUAUUGAUGUGUGAGGAUAGGGUAAGUAAUAAAAGAUUAAUUCACUAACAACUUUAUGAUAUGUACAUUAGACCUACCUUCCAUGCCAGACACCUAAGCCUUUACGCAAAUAUAGAGAAGAAGAGCUAAUCAAUUUGCGUGGAAAUGGAAAAGGCAAGCUAGAGGAGUGGGAUAGAGUGUAUGAUUAUGCUUACUACAAUGAUUUGGGAAGUCCAGAUAAAGGUAAAGAGUAUGCACGUCCAGUUCUUGGCGGAAGUGAACAGUAUCCAUAUCCUCGAAGAGGAAGAACUGGUCGGAAACCGACAAAAACAGGUUAGGCAUGUACAAUUCAGCUGGAGACUAUUCAAGUUGAUGUCCUAAACCUUGGAUGAAUAAAGCACAUAGAACAGGAAUAACAUCUAAUAGUUACAAAUUUACUUUCUAAGUUAGAUGCAUUCGCUUUUUAACAAUUCAAUCACCAAUUAUGUUCUGUCGGUGUAACAGACCCCAAUUCCGAGAGCAGAUUGCCGCUUCUAAAUCUAGAUAUAUAUGUUCCAAGAGAUGAACGAUUUGGUCACAUAAAAUUUUCAGAUUUCCUAGCCUAUGCUCUGAAAUCCGUGGUUCAGGUAUUAGUUCCAGAGAUCAAAUCUCUAUGUGACAAGACUAUUAACGAGUUUGACAGCUUUGAAGAUGUUCUUAAGCUCUAUGAAGGGGGUAUUAAAUUACCCAGUGGGACCAAAGCCACUAAAUUAAGGAAUCGCAUCCCAUGGGAGAUGCUCAAGGAACUUGUUCGUAAUGAUGGCGAGCGAUUCCUCAAAUUCCCAAUGCCUGACGUGAUCAAAGGUAUACAUUUGGUUUUGUUUUUCUUUUUUCUUUUCUUUUUUCUCCCUUUUGGCUUGAGAUUUACAAAGCUUGAUUUCCAUUUACUCUGGACAUUUUCCUGGUACAUCAUGAGGCUUUCAUGGCAUAAUUGCAGAGGACAAGUCUGCUUGGAGGACAGAUGAAGAGUUUGCACGAGAGAUGCUUGCUGGAGUCAACCCAGUUAUUAUCAGUCGCCUCCAAGUAAAUACAUAACUUCUAUUAAACCAACUAAUUAUUUUUAAUCAUAUUCUGGUCUUUUAGCCCUGACAUUAUACUAAAUUAACUUUGCAGGAGUUUCCCCCGCCAAGCAAGCUAGAUCCUAAAGAAUAUGGAAACCAGAAAAGUUCAAUCACAAAAGAGCACGUUGAAAAGAGCAUGAACGGUCUCACAGUAGAUCAAGUAAACACACUUCAUUUAUCUCAUGUCUUUAUUGGAUAUCAAAGCGCCAUAUACAUUGCAAUUAAGAGAUAUUACAAUUGUUUCCUUAACUGUAUGUUUCAUUUUUUUCUUGAUAUAGGCAAUCAGAAAUAACAAGUUGUUUAUAUUAGAUCAUCAUGAUGCAUUGAUGCCAUACCUGACGAAAAUAAACUCAACAACAACAAGGACUUAUGCUACAAGAACAAUCCUUUUACUGCAAGAUGAUGGGACAUUGAAGCCAUUGGCAAUUGAGCUAAGUCUUCCGCAUCCACAAGGGGAACGUCAUGGUGCUGUCAGCAAAGUUUUCACUCCGGCAGAAGAUGGUGUUGAGGGCUCAGUGUGGCAGCUGGCAAAAGCUUAUGCUGCCGUAAAUGAUUCUGGAUACCAUCAGCUUAUUAGCCACUGGUAUGAUUUCAAAAUGAGGCAAUUUCGUGGCACAGGGAAAAAGCUGGUCCUACUUUAGAAUUGCAUGCCUGAAUGCUUGUGCUUAUUUGCAGGUUGAACACACAUGCUGCUAUAGAGCCGUUUAUUAUUGCCACAAACAGACAGUUAAGUGUACUUCACCCAAUCUAUAAGCUUCUGCAUCCACACUUCCGUGAUACAAUGAACAUAAAUGCCUUGGCUAGGCAGAUUCUCAUCAAUGCUGGGGGGAUACUUGAGAUAACUGUUUUCCCAGCCAAAUAUGCCAUGGAAUUAUCUUCUGUGGUUUACAAGAGCUGGGUUUUCACUGAGCAUGCACUCCCUGCUGAUCUGCUCAAGAGGUAAAGCACAAAAAAUUGAAUUGUAAAACUUUCUCAUGUCUUAAGAUUUUUGAUGCUUAAUGAAACAAAAAUUUCUGCUACAUUACAGAGGAGUAGCAGUACCAGAUUCAAGCCAACGACAUGGUCUGAGACUUCUGAUAGAAGAUUACCCUUAUGCUGUUGAUGGUUUAGAAGUCUGGUCAGCAAUUGAAACUUGGGUGAUGGAAUAUUGUGCUUUCUACUAUCCAACAGAUGACUUGGUUCGGGAUGACACUGAACUUCAAUCCUGGUGGGCAGAGAUCCGUAAUGAGGGACAUGGUGACAAAAAAGAUGAACCAUGGUGGCCUGAGAUGCAGACACGAGCUGAUCUUACGCAAACAUGCACAAUCAUCAUUUGGAUAGCUUCAGCGCUCCAUGCAGCUGUCAAUUUUGGGCAAUACCCUUAUGCUGGCUAUCUCCCUAACCGUCCAACCGUAAGUCGCCGAUUUAUGCCUGAGCCAGGAACCCCCGAGUAUACUGAACUUGAGAAAGAUCCGAACUUGGCCUUCUUAAAAACAAUCACAGCCCAACUACAAACUCUCCUCGGUGUUUCCCUAAUCGAGAUAUUAUCUAGGCAUCCAACUGAUGAGGUAUACCUUGGGCAGAGAGAUACAGCAGAAUGGACAUCAGAUCGUGAACCACUAGCAGCAUUUGAAAGAUUUUCAGAAAGGCUGAAAGAAAUUGAAAACAAAAUCAUGGACAUGAACAGUGACAAUAAAUACAAGAACAGAAUUGGGCCAGUCAAGGUGCCUUACACCUUACUUUUUCCUAACACCUCAGAUGAAUCUAGACAGGGUGGACUCACUGGCAAGGGGAUUCCCAACAGUAUAUCAAUAUAAAUCUUUUCUAUCAAAACAGCAAUAGCAUUCAUUAAGUUAAUUAUGUAAGUAGGGGCAGCUUAGUGGUUUGUAUUCAAAUUUAUUUUUAUCUAACUAGUAAAAGGAAUUAUGUGCAAGUAAUUAUGGAAUUUUCUAACAUAUAUAUCACAAGCAUCUAUUGAGUGUAAACUUAUACCUAUACAAGUGAGAUAUAUCUGUUAUGUUGAAACUAGAGUUGAAUAAAGCCAAACUAUAUGUGACAAACAUAUAAAUUGAUAAAAUCAGCCAUGGCAACUGAAACCUCUAUCUAUCCUCUAGGUCACAUUGGCAUAAUUAUACCAAAAAUUUGUAGCUCCCUGAAACUUAACAAAAUCAAUGACACAGAUACGUACAAUACAGCAAGCUGAGAUCAAAACAAGAAAAAAAAAAACACUUAUUUCCCUUUCUUUCAGCAAACGAGAAAAUCAUCGAAGAAUAACUAAUAACCAGUACAAGUUCAAGCCAAACGAACGUAGAGAAUAAACAGAAAGAAAGCAUUCGAUUAUAAGCGAAAUAAACAUAGGAGAAAUUAGAGCAAGAUUGUAACUUUGCAGGCUCUUUACAUGGAAACCCAGCAACCGUAUUGGCAAAAGAUUGUCCUUUUCUAUCUUCCGAUUUCGUGUGAAAUAACUAAUCGCUCUUCUUGACAGUUGUCAAGCCCGCCAAUUUAGCGUUGAAAUUUUCUUCCAGUCCCGCAAACUGGAUACGGUGUCGUUUCUUACCUGCCUUCAGGUUCUUCUUUUCUUUUUUUUUUUUUUUGAAAAAAUUAAAAUAUGUAAGUGGAAUGAAAUUUUAGGGCGAGGAAUUAUUAGAUUAAUAAUUUUUAAAUUUAUGGCUUAUACAAUAAUUUUAUUUUCCUCCCUGAUAUUAUAAAAAUGGAUUACCCCUUGGAUUUAUGAUUAAAAUCAUAUAUAUAGUUAAGAGUUUAUAGUAUAAGAGAUAUAAUUAAAUAUAAAUAAUGUAUAAUUUUAUUUAUAAUUGGGAAUCCAGCUAUCUAGCUUGGUAAUAAUAAAUCAAGGCACUUGAUAAGGUGCAAGGUGAAUACUAUUGACAAAGAAACAUAAAUGUUAAAAGAAGAAAAAGAAGGGGGAAAUGAGGUGUGGGUAAGGCUACAUAUCAAAAUCAACCUCUCUAAUUGGUCUCACCAUAUCACCUUAUCCAUAUUUCUGCACCCACCACCCAUCUAAAGUUCGACAUACACCUAAAUCAAUAACCUCUUCUCUAUCUUUAUUCAUCUCAAAACAGUCCAUAAGCCAGUACCCAUCUUCAGUUCUUCAAUUCCUUAAUUCAUCAUGGCCAUGGCAACUCAAGCCUCUCUCUUCACACCCACCACUCUUUCCACCCCAAAAUCAAGUAACCAUGCAAUUGUACCAUGGAAGCAAUCAUCAUUUCUUUCAAUCCCAACUGCUAAGCCACGUAAGUACUCAAUAGCGCAAAAGACUAUCAAGGCUGCAGCUGCAGAGGGCAAAACUAAGGAGGCCCCUGUUGGCUUUACACCCCCAGAAUUGGACCCAAGUACCCCAUCGCCAAUAUUUGGUGGCAGCACUGGCGGGCUGUUAAGAAAAGCCCAAGUUGAAGAAUUUUAUGUCAUAACCUGGGAUUCACCAAAAGAACAGAUCUUUGAAAUGCCUACUGGUGGUGCAGCUAUUAUGAGACAAGGUCCUAACUUGCUUAAGUUGGCUAGGAAAGAACAGUGCUUGGCUCUUGGUACUAGACUUAGGUCUAAGUACAAGAUUAAGUACCAGUUUUAUAGAGUUUUCCCUAAUGGAGAAGUCCAAUAUUUGCACCCUAAAGAUGGGGUGUACCCUGAGAAGGUUAACCCCGGACGUGAAGGUGUAGGGCAGAAUUUUAGGUCAAUCGGAAAGAAUGUUAGCCCGAUUGAGGUCAAGUUUACUGGGAAGCAAGUGUAUGAUUUGUAAUGAUUUGGUAAUAUCCCGUAUUUGUGAGUAUAGAUUACUUUUACUGUGAUUUGGUGUAAUUGUAUUUUUAUUUAUUUUUAAGAAGCUGCUGGUGAAGCAAAUAUUGGGUGCUGAAAUUAUGUAUGCGUACAUGGAGUAUGAUUAUUAUGUGUGUUAGGCGCAUUUGUUGAAACUGAUAGGGUUAUUGAAAUUUCCUGAAAAAUACCAACUUUAAUGAAUCAUUUUGAUACUUCAUUUUCAAUAAGGUCCAUUUCAUGUUAGUGAAUGAAAUAUAUAAUAAACAGUUCAUAAAAUUAAUUGUAAUUACAAACUCUUUGUAUACGAACUUUAAGCAAACAAUUUUACAUACAAAAAUAAUCACUUGCUAAGUUGCUCCUUUUUGGGUUUAAAUAUGAAAUGGAAUGAGUUGUGCUGGGAUGAGCACAGUUGCAAUAAGUUGACACUUGCUGUCCUGAAAGAUCUCCACUGACUGCGCAGGUGAAAUUUCUCUCCUGAAACUAUCUGUUAGGAUAACCAAUCCACAUUUCUCGGAACUGCCUUGCUGGGGCAGUAUGCAGUUCAAUGUUUAUGAGCUAAGCAAUGAACAGGUUAUGUCUGAAGUCGGGCUAGUCUAAAAUUAAGGACUAUAACUCAUCCAUGUUCUGAAUUAGAAAAAAGAAAACGAACCCUUUGAUUGAUUUCAUUAAAUUUGAUAGAAACUGUUUUUUCUUUUUCUUUUCUUUUCGAGAAUUAAAGAGAGGAAUAGUUUUAAUAUGAUAUUCCUAAUUCUCUAUGUUAAGGCAUUAAAUAAUUUGUAAUUAAUAAACCAAGAAAGAAUGUUUACAAUAAACUGAACAUAAUGCGGAACCCAACGUUUUCACCUCACAACUAUUAUUUUAGCCAAAUUUAGUCCUAUAAAGUAGCAUUUAAUUCCCCAUUAUUUUAAGCUAUGAUAUGGAGUGUCGGUUCCAUGACAGAUUAGUAUUAAAAAAAGGGAUUCCGUUAAUAAUCUAAUCGAUUGUUAAUUGGGUUGAGUUGAUUAUGAAAACGUUGAUAAGGACAUGCUGGCAUGGCAUAUCCAUAAUCCAUCCCAAUCCAACACGCGAUCCAUCGCUAUCCUUUUUUAAAUAAUUUUAUUGGCAUAAUCCAUCGUUAUCUUCAAUGACAAGUAAAAAUAAAGUAAGCAGAAGCAGCACAUGUCCCGAUCCAUUAUUUGAAUCUUUUAAGUAAAAUGCUCGGCGAUGCCAUUACACAGUCUGUAAUGGCGAUUAUCACUAAGUAGUAGUACAUGUUAACAAAUUAAAUAUGUGAUCCUGAGUAAUUAAAAUAAAAAAAUAAAAAUUGAAAACGACAGCCAUUUUUGAAUGCCACACAACUAGCUACCAUCAUCAUAUAUUUUUUAUGCUUACAGGUAUGUGUUGUUUUCUAUUAAUUUGGUAAUAUAAUAUUAUUAAGACGAGACAAGGUGUUGUUGCACAUCGUUAUCUCAUGACACCCUUUUAGGUGACACCAUAGUGGACGAACGUGGAACUUGACAACAAAUUAAAUUAUGUAUCCUGUAAGGUUGUAAACCAUCUAUAAUUUUUAGCAAGUUACCUUAUUAUUAUUGGAUUAGAAGUUUCUCGAAAUGCAAGCCCUUAAUUUGAUUCUCUGAAAGCUUUUCUAAACAAGAAUAAGAAAGACAAGGAAAAAGUAUAGAUGUGAAACUUAUUUUAUAAGUUUGGUUUAUAUAUUAUAAUAAAUAAAAAAAUAAUAUAUAUUAUGAGCGUUUUAUGUAUUGGUAUUAAAUAAAUAGCAUGUGUCUUAUUAUUUAAAAUUAAUAAAUUUGUAUUAAUCAUUUAUCGGUUUGAUAUAAAAAAAUAUAAAUUUGAUAUUUUAAUUUUUUAAUUUUUUUCUAUUUUUGGGUCUAAAUUACUUUUUAAUUCAAUUAAUAAAAUUUUAAAUAAUUUAAGGACAUCUAAAAAUAGUUACUUUGCUAUUAUUUUUUAAUAUUAAAUAUUAAAAAACUUAUUAAAUUAUAUCUAUUAACUUAAUUUUAUAAUUAAAAAAAUAAUAAUAAUAAUCAUGUAAAGUAGAAAUAAAUAACUAGUUUUAUUUUAAUUGGUCGAGUGCAUCGAUGAGACUUUUAUUGUAAAAUAGACAUGUCAUUAAUUACAACAUCAACAUACAAUGAUCCAAGCAAGCAGAUACAACUUUUAUUAUAUAUAUAUGGACAUACCAUUUACACAUAUAAUUAACAUAUAUGCACAUUUGAUGACAAGUUCUUCAUCAAAUUUUGGUACAUGUACACUGUAAGUAGUGCCAACCCAGCCACCCAAAUUAAUGAGUAACAAAGAGUCACUUUGAUUUGGGAUUUUGAAUAGAAGACUAAGCUCCGACUGGUGUGGGUGCAAGAAUGGAAUCCAUUUCACUUCUAGUCCGACUAAUUCUUCUACCAUCACCACCACUAUCUUCUCCACUCAUCCAAAUUUCAGGAAUCACUUGUGGUAGCUUAAUUACAUACUCCAAAAGAUAAUCAGCUUCUUUACUCUUCACUGUUUUUCCGACCAGAACCGUACUCAGCCCCAUAGCUUUUCCAGCUGCCACAUUACGUACGUUGUCGUCAAGAAACAACUGCCAACAAUACACGGUGCCAAAUAAUGAUAAAGUAAUUAGAAUAAUAGUAAAAAGAAAAAGAAUCUAGAAUCAAAAAGUUAUAAUUUAGUGGCUCUGCAGUCUGCAGUAAACUGUAGCAACAGAUUGCCAUAACUUAAAUGUGAGGAAAAUGGGUGUUUCGUGGCAUACAGUGCGGGAAGGGUUGAUGUCAGCAACGUGGAGAGCAAUCUUCAUGGCAUCAAUUGAUGGCUUGAGAAGAACAGGAAACUCAUCCGGACGAGUAGAUCUUGAUAAGUUUGGAUUCAUAGUUUCAAAGCAUAUGAUUUGAUCGAAGCAAUCUUCAAUUCCAAGUCUUUCCAGGGACUUCAUCGCGUGAUUUCUAUCUGAAUUGGUGAAUAUCUGUAGUAAAAUAAAUUGAAUUAAUAUUUUAGAAGUGUAUAACUACUUCAGUUUCAUUUGUUGGAUUUUUGGUUUUUCCUAUAACUUACUAAUUUUCUUUGGGGAAUGCUUAGUAAGAUGUUGCGUAAUUGACCAUCUGGCUUGAUUAAAUCGUAGGGCAAUCUUCCGUGCACGAAACUGGAAACGUAGAAACAGAAUCGUAAAUAAAUAGAUAAAUCACCGCGAGUUUAUUUAUGAAUCGAGGAUCUGAUAUGAUAAUCACCUGUGGUAAUCAUCAGCAUCUAUAUCGUAGCCUAAUGCCUGAAAACACAAAUUUUUUUACAAAAUAAUCAGAAAAAUUAUUUCAAGAUUCUGAUAAUUCUGCUUAAUUAUAACUCAUGAUGAAAUUAAUUACCCUCAAACCGGCGAGAGAGCUGCCGUAAGUUUUGAAAAGCUCAACUCGAAGACUUGAGGCUUUGUCCUGUGCAAAUCCACAUUUCUCAACGAGAAAAUCUGCAAGAAAAGUCAGGAGUUGGUUUUGUGUUUAGCUAAUUAAAUUUGAAGGCUUAAUAAAUAAUUGAAUUCUUAUUACAAUAAUAUUACCAUCUAUGUUUUUCCUUAAAGCUUCUGCUAUUCCAAGCUUUGAAGAAUACAGAGUGUCAUCCAAAUCUGUUUUUCGUUUCGGAAGACAAAAUUUCAAAAUGCGAUCAGAACAGAACUCUUCAAGUUUAAAAUAAAAGAAAGACAAAGAUGUAAUUAGCUACCAAAAAUUAGGCAAUCAAAAGGACUUUUGGUGGCGCCUGAACAAUCCAUUGCACAAAAUAUGAAACGACCUGAGUAUUGUAUAAGAGAAGUAGUGGAGAAUUGCUAAGAGAAGGAGAAGAGGCUUUUGGUGGUAAAUAGGAAGUUGGAAAGGAAAAGCAGAGAAUUUGAAGAAGGGAGGGGGAGGCUUAUUUAUAGGCAAGGCCAAGAGGAAGAGAGACAGAGAGAGAUGGUGCUGACUCAUUGUCCAAAUCUCUUACCUAACAGCGAGUCGUUUGGCUGAUUAGAUAAAUGGCCCACGCGUUAGCCACUAAAGUUAGUAAUCUGUCAAAAGGCCAAAUUGUCCUUCUUCAGAUCAAUUUCCACAGGUGGGCAUUUCAGUAAAUUUGAAGUUAGUGCUUGUCUAAACAAGUGUCUCGAUCCCUUGCUCUGGAAGUUCCACAGAGAUAUUUUAUAGGCUGAAAAAUAAUUGUCUAACUUUCCACUUUUUAUCAAAUAUAAUAUAUAAUUUUUAAUUUUUAAUUUAGUAUUAAAUUGAUUUCAAUUUUAACCCAUAGUAAAAUUAUUCAUUAAAUUUAUUAAUUUUGAGUAAAUUCCGACAAUACCAAAAAAAAAUUGACUUAAUAUUAAAAUUAUUGACUUAUUUUAUUAUUAAAAUAUUAUUAUUUAAAUACAUAAAAAUAGAUUUUUUUAAUUUUAAAAUUUUAUUAAUUUUAUAUACUUAAACGAUAAUAUUUUAAUAAUGAGAGUGCUAAUUCAGUUUUUUAUUUUUUUAUUAUUAUCAGAAUUUAUGUUACGUGAAUAAAUUUGAUCGAUAAUUUCACCGGAGCCUAAAAUUAAAAUUAAUAUUAAAAUAUGUUAUUAAAGUUAAAAAUUUAUAAACUAUGUGCUAGAUUUAAUAAUAAAUGUAAAAUAUGUAAUUUUUUUUACAAUUAAGUCAUAUUUAUAUUGCACGUGUGGUGAGCUUUUUAACAAUAUUAAAGGGUACAGUCCUAUAAAUAAUUAUAUUAGAGGUCUAUUUUAAUUGUAUAAAACAGAUCCUAAUGGUUGGAAGAGCUUUUGUUUUUUGUUUUUGAUAAUCAAUCGCUUCCUUUUCUGAAAGUGUAUAAAUGGUCCCAAUUAGAAACCUAUGUUAAAGUAAUACUAAUUUAAACAUUCCAAAGCUAUUUGGGGCCCAGAUUCUUAAUUUUUAACUAAAUAGACUGUCCAAUCUAACUCCCACUUUGUCAUAUAUUUUUAUUAAACAAAUAAAAUAUCAAGCUAGUAUUCUCUCCAGUAAAAAUCAGAAAAGUUUUGAAUUUAAAGUUUUCAUAUAUUCUCGAUUAAUAUUAAUAUUAUAUUAUUAUAUAAUGAUGAUGACGACUAUUUUUAUAAUGGUCCCAUGGCCAUGGCCAUUAAACUCUGACGAAUAAUAAGAAAAUAAAAAUAUUUUCAGAGUCGGACUUGACAGUCGACAGUAAUGGAGAGAAGAAGAAACAAAAAGAAAGAAAGAAAAAAGCAAACUCCCAUGUAAAACGUUGGCUUUUGUCUGCAGAAUGUGGGAUAGUUGAGAAAGCAGAGAAGGCAAUUGUGGAUACUUGAGAAUGGUUUGGGCCCUUAUCAGAGGCCCUAAUAAGGCUUCCAAAGAGAUAAAAUGUUGGAAAACAGAAACAAUUAUGGAGGCACGAAAUAGUGAUGGGGAUUGGAGCGUACUAUAUAGGCCUUUGUCAUUGUUAUUAUUUGUCGGUGAUGAUGACCUGUGUUAAGCCAUCCACCUUUUUACUUUGAUUACAGAUAUUUCUGAUUUAUAGAUUUUAAUUAAGAAAUUUAUCUAAAAAUAUUUAUAAGUAUAAAUAUAUUUAAUAAUAAUAAUAAUAAUCCAAUAAAAUAUAUUUGAUAAUAUAUAUUAUAUAUAAAUAAGAACAUAAUUAGUGUACUAUUUGUGGAAUAAAAAAUACAAUUUAAUUCAAACAUCAUUUAUUGACAUGUAACUAAGAAAUAAUAUAUUAUUUAAAAUAUUUAACUAUGUUACAAGAUUAUCAAUACAAUAAUUUGAAAAUAUAAAAUUAUACAUUAAUAUAAUAAUAAGUAGAAAAAACAAGUAUUCAUGAGAAAAUAUUAUUUUUAUAAGUGGAAAAUAUUUUAUGUCUCUAACUUAUUUAUAUAUAUAUAUAUAAGAUAAUAACACAAUUAAUAAAUAAUAAAGUAAUUUUUAUUAUUUUAGAUUUUGCUCUUCCCAGUUACACCGGGAAAAAUCGUACAACCGCUAAAGCCAAGAACCAUGCUCAAAUUCCGAUUUUAAAAACGUUGGCUUAUGUCUCCCAUGACCAGGACCAUGACCUCAUCUGUGGAAGCAAAGGCCAGGGCAAGAAACCUUGUAAUCGUUGAAUAGUUGUUAAUGGGCUGGGCCGUUUGUAAGGGCUUUAAGGCUUUGGAAGAGCAAAAGAUAUUCUUAAGGCAUGGAAUGAUGAUGGGUUGGAGCAAUAAUAGGCCCUUUUUGAUUGUUGUUUUGUGUUGUCGGUGAUGAUGGCCCGUGCUACCCGUGGCAACCAGCCAUGCAAUGCAAUUACACUGGCAAGGGUAUCACUCAAAACAAAUAAUUUUGUUAAGCAAGCUUUGCUCUUAAAAAGUACAUCCAAUUAUUAUUACAAAAGGGAAUCAAUCAUGCCCAUCAAAAGUUGUUGCUGUUUCUUUUUUAUUUAUUUAUAGGAGAAAUGGUAAUAGCAUCAUUGCUUGAUGGUUCGAAAGCUUUAGGUCAUAGAAAUGCAAAAAGAAUAAAAGAAACUAAAAACAUAAUUAGUACGUUCAUGAUGAAAGCUAGAAAUAUAAAGAAAAUUAUAGCCAAUAGUGGGUCAAUUGCCCCAUCCAACUUCUAAAAUUAAUAGAUAUUGCUCCUAAUUUAUUAACAUUUAUCUAUUUGCAAUGUAUUUUCUAACUCAAAUUAAAAUUCGAGUUUACAGCUGAUAUUUAUUUUUUGCCCUAUUGAACUGAGAUUCUGGCUGCAUCCAUUUAGGCUUAAUGAGUUCAAAGGUUUAUUGGAAAUUUUUGAUGGUAAUUUGAACUCUUGAAUUCUCAAAUCAGUGAGAUAACCCUAAAAAGCAUGUAAAAUAGUAAAAAGGGAAAAUGUCUAUAGCUAAAAUAUUACAAUUCAACUCGAAUGGUGCAUUCUACAGUUAUUUUGUUGUUUUAUUAUUGUAUUUUUAUUUUGUAUUUCUCACCAUAAAAUAUGAUUUUUUUCCCUAUAUUUUCAGUUUGUAUUAAUCUGCCAAUUUUUUAACCAAUGUAAUAUUAAUAAAAAGCUGUUUUGGCUUUGAUAUGAGCCAUCUAGGAAAAAAAAGAACAUAUAAUUGACUGCCACCCGUUAACGGUAGUUAUUAUAUAUAUAUAUAUAUAUAUUUUGAAUAAAGCCAUAAUAGAAAAUGCCAACCCAAAUAUAAGAUUUUUAUUUAUUUUUAAAUUAGAGACAAUACUAUUGAAGAAAACAUUUAGGAACUUAAUAAAUCUUUUGGUUUCCUGCUUAUUUGUCUUUAAAUUGUACUACUUGAAAGUUGAAAGUGAUAAAACAGAUAAAUAUCUUCUGCUCUUCUUUUAAGAUUCUUGGGUGGCGAGGGUUCAUGAACCGCUAGUUUCGGUUAAAAAACUGACAGUUUUCAGUUCCAUGACCAUUGGAACUGAUUGGUUGUGAUUUAUAGUUUUGGUUCCGGUCGAUUCCAGCCAGUUCCGGUUCAAAAAUCGACAGUCCCAAUUUUAAUUAAGGGAGACCAAACACUGAACUGGUCUUCUUCAAUCCCGUCCAAAUUUGACCCAUAGACAAUUCUAGGCUCGAACCGAAUCGUGGCCACCCUGAGUGUUGGCCGCAUUUCUUUUUUUUUAUUUUAUUAAUUUGAAUGGAAAUGUCCGUGGACUAAUCUUACUUUGCAUCUAAAUCAAGACACUGAUUUAAUGACAUUAAUUUAUACCCUUUCAUGUUGUUUUCACAUUAGUUCUCCCCGAGUAACAAGUCCAUUAAAGAGGCAUCACUUUUCACACAUUAUUAAUUCUAUGAAAAAGAUUGAACUUUUGAUAUCCACUUCUAAAGUGAUCUCUCACCCUACCACCAGACUUUCAAUUUAUACAAGUUCUAAAUAAUAAUAGAAACACAAACAAGGAUCCAUUACCAUUAUAUCUUACCAUUAAGGUACAUAACUACACAAGCGAAAAAGGAAGCAAAAAAGGUCCAUGCUUUAUAAGAUAAAUAAACAUAUAAAAACCCAAAAAGAAAUAAGAAAAAAAAAAGACUCAAGAUUAUAUUCCACUUGCAUUCUUAAAAAUAACUAUUGUGCUUUUGGUAGGGGCUCCUUUCUAUUAAUUUUCUUAAGCAUGAUCUUGCUUGCCAUGCCCAUAUAUGAAUCUUGCAGUUCCUUCAGUGUAUACAUGAGUUUCAUUGUCCAGCCUGCCAUAAUUUAACAACAUAGUAGUAGUUAUUAUUUAUGGAUUAACAGUAACUACCAUCAAAUUAAAAGUAUCUGAACCUUUAAAGGGCUUACGAUUUACGAACUGCUUUGCACAAGGUAGAGGCAGAUGAAAAUGUUUUCCCGUCAAGGUACCUGUUCUCCCCUUUGAUUUUCUGUUUUAUUCUUAGGUCUAAGUCAUCAGCAUUCAGCACCAAUGGUGAAUCUGAAGCCUGUUGUAACAAAAAAGAAAAUGAAUAUUAGUUCCUGCAAUUCUCCUGGAAGAAAAAAGCUGUUAGAAAACACUAAUUAUAGAGUUGUGUGUAAUUACCAUGACCCAUCCCCAAGUAUCAGCAUAAGAAGGAAUAUGAGCUGAAUAAGGCACAACAUCUGCACAUGAAAUUAAUCAGACAGGCCAUUCAGUUUUGGAUUAUCAGGUUUUAAACUCCUGAACUCCUAGUUUACGUGCAAACUUAAUAUAGCACUUACAUUUGAAAACCUGCCUUAAAGUGUUGUAGAUACAAGAGAACACUUCUGUAUGGCUGAAAAUUCCAGCUGGUCCUGCCUGCAGAAUUUACAAGAAAAAAGUUCAGUUCUUGUAAAUCUACCCACGUCUCUGUCUCGUGUCUCUCUGUUACACAUAAAGAUUAGCUACAGCUACCUGUGUGACAAAAAUCCCACCCUGAUUGAGUCUGGGUUUGACAGUUAACUCAUAAAAGGAUUUGGUGUAGAGUUUGUAACACGGGCCUCCUUCUAUUGGGUCUGCCAAAUCCCCUAUUAUCACAUCAUAGCAUUCUUUCCUGCUUUCUAGCUCAUUCCUGCAGAUUAUCAUUUUAUUUUUUCUUUUACUUUCUUCUUAAUGAAACAAUAAACCGUAGUGAUUAUAAGUAUAAACAGUUAAAUUCAGAAUUGGACCUGGCAUCAUUGAUAAUGAUCUCUAAUCUUGGAUCACAGAAAGCUUCUCUAUUCACAGCCAAGUAGGCCUUGCAGAAGUCUACCACCUCCUGCUCCAUGAGAUCGUUAUAAAGGGUUAAAUAUUGGUUUUUGGUCAUGUUUAAUUUAAGUUAAGAAUUUGAUUCAUGUAGGAUCGUCACAUGUUGAUGAUCAAAGACAUGACCCGACUGUAGAAUUUCAGUAUGACAAGAAAAUAAGACAAAAGAACCACUAGAGCAGAAAAAGAAAAGAUGAAAAAUAGACUUGUGCUCACAUUUCACAUGGAAAUGAACUCACAAGAAACAUACUAAUAAUGAUGUUGGAUAGUCAUUUUCUUUGGAAAGUAAUUUUGGAUAAACCAACAAAUAUAUAAUUAGGGGGACCAAGAGAAAAAAACGUAAAAUAGAUAUUUAUAAUCUUAAAAAAGAAAAUGUAAAUGAAAGUCAAAAAGAAGCAAAAAGGAUGUUUACCUCAUCAAUAUCACACAUGACAACCUUCUCCACAGUCCUAUGUCUCAGUAUUUCUCUUGCAGUUGAUCCUUCACCUCCUCCCAUUAUGAAGAUGGUCUUUGAACUAAAACCAAUUAUAACCAAAAACAAUUCAUAACUAGGAAAUAAAAGAAAUAUAAUCCUCAAAUAAAAUAAAGAUUAAAGGAAUGAGUUUUAAUAGUAAGCACUAUAGUACCAUACAUAUGAAUUGGGGCCACAUUUGUAAGCCAACUAUAUGCUAAGAACAUGGAUGAUAACUAAGGACAUGGAUAAUGCAAGGGAAAAGAAAUAUACUUUGAAUGAUGAAGAAUUGCUGGAUGAACAAGGCAUUCAUGGUAGAUAAAUUCAUCCACCUCUGCACUUUGAAGCUUUCCAUCAAUCACUAAAGCCUGAAAGAUCAUAGAUAAAACGAUACAGUUGAGUGCAUAUUCUUAUUUUCUGGAAGUGGAAGAUUCUUGUGCCAAAAUUUAUUAACACUAAACAAGAACCUUUCCAAAUGGCUUUGUGUCCAACAGGGCAAUGUCCUGAUACUGAGAGACUCCUGUAUGCAAAAUGCUGCAAUAACAAAGAUCAAUAAAUAAAUAAAGAGAUUGGAUAAAUGAGUGAAAUGAUAUAAAAAGUAGUGAAGUUGGUAGAAAAAAAAAGCACUUAGUAAUUCCAUUUCUUUAUUGGACCUUUGUCUGUCUUUUUUAUGACCAUGCUUUGCUAUCAGAUAGCUAGUGGCAUGUUAAUAACCUUUUCGCUUUUAAGAUACUCUUGUUAACAAUGUUCAGCCGAUUAGACUUAGGAUUUGUCUCUCUUUCAUAAAAAGUUGUUAGCUUUAAGAUGCUUCUAUCAUGAUACUGUCUCAUGAAUUCUGUAGAACAACUUUGUGAACAUGAAAACAUAUGUGCCGCAAAAUCUGCCACUAAAUAAGAACUAACCAGACUACGGAAUAAGUAUAGAAGCACUUGUGGAUGAAAGAAACUAGAAUACAAAAUGAAUGAGGUGGAUUAUAGAUAAACCAAAACCAAUCAAGAAAGAAGGAGCAGGAAAGAGCAAAAGUUUCUUUCUUUUGAAGAGAACCCUUUUAGACACAAUCGAGUAUAUAUGUACAUUACCUAUUGAGGGCAAAACACCAUCUUAAGUUCUCUUCAAUCUCUUCUUCAUACCAGCAACUCUUCCUGUAGCCAUUUGGAGAUGGAUGGCCUUUCCCAUUAACCCCAUUAGUCCCAUUACUAAUCCCAUUAGAACAAGCAAUGUCACCCAUACUGUAGUAACUCGCUAUAUCUCUAACUCUAAGCAGCAAGCCAAUGUGGGGAAAGAUAUCAAGUUAGACAGAGAGACAGAAGUGGACACAAGCAAGUAAUGGGAAAAGGGUGGGAGAAAUGAGCUAGCGAAGUGGGCAAUAUAAAUGGUAAAAGGUGGCAUAAAAAUCGAAAAAGAAAAGAAAAGAGUAAUGGAAAAUGGGGUAUAAAAUUAAUGAUUUGAUUUUGGAUGGAAGAGUAGGGGCAAAUCUAUCGAAGUAGAUGUGAGGCUAAAGAAGAGAGAGAGAGAGAGAGAGUUACCAAAUUAAUAUCCUCUUGGAAAUUCGUGAAGUAAUUUUAAUAAAUAUAAGAGAAAAGUAAUGAUAAAAACAAGUGAAAAGAACCGCAGUAUUGAUUUCUAAAGGUUGUGAUGACACUCGCGUGGUUUUGUCCAUUUGUUCUUCUAUGUUUUCCAACUUUAAUNNNNNNNNNNNNNNNNNNNNNNNNNNNNNNNNNNNNNNNNNNNNNNNNNNNNNNNNNNNNNNNNNNNNNNNNNNNNNNNNNNNNNNNNNNNNNNNNNNNNAUUCCAAUUGGGUUUAUAUAUAUAUAUAUAUAUAUAUAUUUUAUAAACCACUUAAAAGUAGCAUUUUUCAUAAAUAAAAAUCUCGUGUUAAAUGUAUAAAUUUGGAAAAUAUUAUCGGUAUGAUUAUGCAUGGAUGAUAACAAUAAUAAUGAGAAGGAGGCACAUACAUGCAUCAUUAUAAUAUAUUAAUACAAAUACAGAUAACAAAAAUAGUAAUAGAAGAAAAGAAAGAAAGAAGAAGUAAUGAAGAAAGAAGAGUCAAGGAAAAGGAUAAAAGAUGAUGAUUAGAAUAGGGAAGAGGUGGCAAUUACCGAAAAUUGUGGUUAUAUUCUUUAGUUCGAAAAUGUGUGCAAAUCUUGGUUGGAGAAAGAGAGCGUGCAGUGGGAACCAUCAUUCAUAUUCCAUCUCUUAUUGCUUCUUCUCACAAAAGAUGAAGCUGGGCGUGCCAUGCCAGGCGCACUCAUCAUCACCAUCACCAUCACCAUCUCCAUCAAAAGCACAUAUAUUCAUCAAAUCCACAACCCCAACACCAUUAAAAUUUUUCAACCCCACCAUAAUCAAACUCAGCAAAACCUUUUAACCUCUCCUAUCACUAUUGACUAUUGAGUUCACCACCUCUGUCUUCUUCUUCUUCUUCUUCUUUUUUCAUUUUUGGAACAGUCACCACUUCGAUCCAAUACACUACCUAUGUAUCUUUAUCGUGCCUUUUGCUUUGCCAGGUGUCGACCUUUGAUCCCUUUAUUAACCCAUUUUAUGGGGUAUAGGCCAUAGGUAAUAUUGCCAUCAGGCUGAUGUGUUUUGCUCCGCCUUUCAUUUAAAAGACCACGAAUAGAACUAUAAAUUUAUUCAGUGUUGUUGGAGUUUGAAGUUUGAACCUCGCUAAACCUGCAAAUUAAAAAAAAUUAUAAAUUAGUCUAUUAUUAGAUUUGAUUAUUAUAGUCAAUAACUAUACUAUAUAACUUAAAUUUGGAGGAUACUUUUAAAUUUAUUAAGCUGAAUUUGUUCUCAAUUUGUUAUUUUGGGUUUAGUUAUUAUUAGUAAACAUUUAAGAGAUCAAAUUUCAAUAUUUAAAUUAAUCAAAACGUCCAUAAUUGAUCUAAUUCAUCUGUUCUUAACUUGAUUAAAGAAAAGAAGAAAGAAAGGCAAAAGGGUUUUUGUUUGUUUGUUCGUUCAUGCAGGCCAACUACAAUUACAAAGCAAAAAAAGAGAAAGAAAUCAUGCUCUCUCCUUGGGGUUUUUUAAGGAUGGGUGAUGAUGGAUUCACCCACAUCUUGUUUUGUUCUGUUUUGUUUUUCUCUUUUCCUUUAUUGAGGACACUGUAUUGGUUAAAACAAAUGAUAUCUUUGCCUUAUUUUGCGUUCUCUCCUACUUGGUUUUUGCUCCCACCUCAAUCCUCAUGACCUGUUAAAAUUAUUACAUUUUCGCAAGCUUCAAGUUACUCAUCAAGUGAAAUCCUUCCCAAGAUAUAAACUAAUCUUUUUGUGCCAGCUACACUACCCAAAAUAUAUAAAUAUAUGCAGUUCAUGGUCUACAAUUAACGUGACAUGUGAUUAGUGGUAUAGAUACAUGACUGAAUCGUAUAUAGAAUUAUCAUUGGAUAGGGGUCUUUUCACACCUAAUCAGCCUGCUAAAUUAUUAUAAUACAUGGUUCUAGAAGUUGAUUCUCCUGCCCUGAAUUAUGUUUUUCAUUUAAAAUAAAAACUGAAAACCAAAGCCUACCCAGUAGAAAUCCUUUGAUUUGAGAUUUUAUUCAGCAUUUCACGAGAAGAUUAGGCCUCAGUGCGUAGAAAUUUUAAGCCUAUAAACUGAAAGUAUACAUAAGAUUUAUGCCA
rnacentral:lncRNA from 1 species